UCGGAUAAGUACACCUUUGAGUAGCACUUAUCUGGGAGUCCGCUGCGAAGCCACCCUUUUGGGACCAGGUCUAGUACCCGGUCUAAUACAUUGCGAUUUUGCUGAUCGAGAAGAAAAGAUCCUGAACUCGAGAAUAAAAGAUCUUAAACUUAAAAAAAAUUGAAAGAGAUAAAAAUUGUGAGAGAAGUCGUCUCUCAAAUUGUUCGGAAAGUUACCGAAGUAUACUUUGGGCCUCGUCGUUUCCCUUUAAAAUGUUUGACCGCGGCGCGUUGUAAAGUUUUGUCUUUGAUUGAUUGAGUGUUGAAAAGUGGAAGCAUGGAGAUGAAGACAAUUUAUGACCAGUUGUUCGACCUAUUGGACUCAUUUGAUUUGUUGGAUCCCCAACUAUACUUGCACGACAAGUUAGUUUUGAAUUUUGAGUAUAAAAAUUGUUACGACAGUCUGGAAUUAACUCCGCGGAGGAAAUUAAGAAGGCGAUUCAGCCAAUCGGAAUUAGAGUUCUCUUCCGCGAAAAGCUAUUCGCUUGGAGGAAAACAAAGUUUACUCAAGAAAUAUCUUCGCAACCAUCGUCUCCAAAGCCAUCGCCACAAAAGGCACCGCCAGCACUUUUAUCUCCGUUGCCGUCUAAUGCGCCUAAAUUCAAAUACACUCUUAACAAGAUAUGGGUCUUUAAGUUGUAAUAAUUAUGUAACCUUAAUAAGUUUAAUCUUAAAAAUUGUUGUAUUUAUUCGGUUAAAUUGAUAACCAAUAACCUGCGUCUAUUAUUAGUUAUAAAUACAAAUUUUUCAUAGAGCUUGAAUUCAAUUUUAAGUGGAACGGCUGCUGGAAAAGAACUUCUAGGAUGUAAAAUACUGACUGAAAAGCAAAGAGACAUUCUCAUUAUUCUUAUUAUUGAGGAAAUCAAAACAAUAACAUCAACCUUCAAGUAAGCAGCUUUCCAAAUUUGUUGGACGAGCUCCAAACGAAGCAAAAAGUCGGGUAACUUUGUUACAAAUUAUUAUUGAGUCAAUAUGUAUUUUAUUUUAUUUCGAACGAUCUGUUUUUAUCUGCCGGAUUAUUAUUUUAUUCCUCGGGGUAAAUUAAAAAAAAGCCCGAGUCGAAAGUUGAAUUCCAAAUACAGAAAUAGGGGUCGGAAAUUUGAACUGCAAGAUGAAGAGGAAAUUGAAAAUGUGCCGAACAAUUGGGAAGGUUAUGGUCUAGCGCUAGCAUUGAAAGCAAGCUUAAAAAGGGACUUCUCCGAUUGGACAGACGUGUGUCAAAAGUGGCAAAGUACUUGCCAA